CCUACGGGUGGCUGCAGUGGGGAAUAUUGCACAAUGGGCGCAAGCCUGAUGCAGCCAUGCCGCGUGUGUGAAGAAGGCCUUCGGGUUGUAAAGCACUUUCAGUAAGGAGGAAAGGUUAAGUGUUAAUAGCACUUAGCUGUGACGUUACUUACAGAAGAAGCACCGGCUAACUCCGUGCCAGCAGCCGCGGUAAUACGGAGGGUGCGAGCGUUAAUCGGAAUUACUGGGCGUAAAGCGUACGCAGGCGGUUUGUUAAGCGAGAUGUGAAAGCCCCGGGCUCAACCUGGGAACUGCAUUUCGAACUGGCAAACUAGAGUGUGAUAGAGGGUGGUAGAAUUUCAGGUGUAGCGGUGAAAUGCGUAGAGAUCUGAAGGAAUACCGAUGGCGAAGGCAGCCACCUGGGUCAACACUGACGCUCAUGUACGAAAGCGUGGGGAGCAAACAGGAUUAGAUACCCCUGUAGUC
rnacentral:rRNA from 1 species